rnacentral:rRNA from 1 species
UACGUAGGGUGCGAGCGUUGUCUGGAAUUAUUGGGCGUAAAGAGCUUGUAGGCGGUCUGUCGCGUCUGCUGUGAAAAUCCGGGGCUCAACCCCGGACUUGCAGUGGGUACGGGCAGACUAGAGUGUGGUAGGGGAGACUGGAAUUCCUGGUGUAGCGGUGAAAUGCGCAGAUAUCAGGAGGAACACCGAUGGCGAAGGCAGGUCUCUGGGCCACUACUGACGCUGAGAAGCGAAAGCAUGGGGAGCGAACAGG